rnacentral:rRNA from 1 species
ACGUAGGUGGCAAGCGUUAUCCGGAUUUACUGGGUGUAAAGGGCGUGUAGGCGGGUCUGCAAGUCGGCUGUGAAACUCCCGAGCUUAACUCCGGCGGGUCCUCCGAAACUGCAGAUCUUGAGUACUGGAGAGGAUAGUGAAAUUCCUAGUGUAGCGGUAAAAUGCGUAGAUAUUAGGAGGAGCACCAGUGGCGAAGGCGGCUAUCUGGACAGUAACUGACGCUGAGGCGCGAAAGCGUGGGGAGCAAACAG